GGCCUGGCUGGCACUGGGCAGGAGUGGGAGCAUCCCAGCAUCCCUGAGCUUCAUCCCAUACACAAUUGUUUGAGUCCAGCCAUAAAGGAGGAGGAGGUUGGCUCAAAAAAUAAAACAUGGGAUUUGUGCACCUGUGACCCAAAACAGCCACGUCUAGAAGUAUUCUGCUGCGAAAUUGCCAAGGGACACAAGUGGAAGCCCAAGGAAACCACAGUCCUCAAUUUCUUCAGAAGACACUGCUAAUUCACACGGCUCUAGUUGAGACCUACUUUCAGACACAUCAUCUGCUAUGAGACACCCUCCAAAGAAGCAUUUUGUAGCACAUUUUCCCAGCCUGAGGAAUUAACCAACGCAGAUAAAGUAUUUUGGGGAGGGUAUUGGGUUCACAGCGUAUGAGAGGCCGCAUUACUUCACUGGAGCAACUUCUCUGGCUGACAGCCCUCAUCUGGAAGCACCAGCCCCAUCCUGUCAUGCCCAAAACAAAAUAAUCAGAAUAAAACUAUUGGAAGAUGACA